CUCUCUCACAGAACUCCAGAAAAC
rnacentral:piRNA from 1 species